rnacentral:rRNA from 1 species
UACGGAGGGGGCUAGCGUUGUUCGGAAUUACUGGGCGUAAAGCGCACGUAGGCGGCUUUGUAAGUUAGAGGUGAAAGCCCAGGGCUUAACCCUGGAAUUGCCUUUAAGACUGCAUCGCUAGAAUCGUGGAGAGGUGAGUGGAAUUCCGAGUGUAGAGGUGAAAUUCGUAGAUAUUCGGAAGAACACCAGUGGCGAAGGCGACUCACUGGACACGUAUUGACGCUGAGGUGCGAAAAGCGUGGGGGAGCAAACAGG